rnacentral:snRNA from 1 species
UUACUCUGGUUUCUCUUCAUAACGCACAAGUCUUUCGCCUUUUACUAAAGACUUCCGUGGAGAGUGACUCCAACGAGUUUAGCCUGUUUUUGGCAGGCUUUGCUCUCUGGCAGAGCCG